rnacentral:lncRNA from 1 species
AUGAUAUAUAAGGCAUGAAGAUGUUAUUGUUACAGAUCAGCUAAAUUAUCUAUAGUAAAGGAUAUAUAUAUAUAUAGUUGAAUCAACUAAAAUCAAUGCUUUAUUCAAUGCAAUGUUUAAUUCUGAUUUCCCCUGAUAAAUAAAAGCAAUUUUGACUGUUCAUUUCUAAAAACAUUUUAAAGUCUUCUUGGAUUGGAGAUCUCUUUCUUUGUCCAGAAUGUUAGUUGAAUCAACUUCAACCAAUGCUUCAUACAAUUCAAUAUUCAAUUUUACUUCCUACUGAUGAAUUGAAGCAAUCUUUAUCAUUCAGUGCUUACCGUUCUAGAGUUAUGCCCCUUUGAAAAAAUUGCUGAAUUUUUGUUUUCCGUUCUCUUAACUUGAGUUUAUCUCAAAUAAAUGUAAUAAAAUGCAUACAUAAUGCUUUUUACCACAAAACUCAGUCUUAGUUUAAUUUUUGGAAGCGUUACUUUUAAAGUUCUUGAGUGUUAUAUGCUAGUGGGAGCAUCAUUCCCCAUUUAUUUAUAUGUUGAAUCUACUGAAAUAUUUAUGAAAUAAUUGCCACUGGACAUUAAGCAAACAACAAUCAAAUCAAUAUGGGGUGUAAAUAAUAUAUUAUGUGCAGAACUCAAGUCAAUGCUUUAUUUUUUAUUUUUUGUAUUCUUAUAUCUUAAUGUAAAGAAAAGUAUGGUUGCUUUUUUAAGAUAGAAUUUAUUUUAAUAUAUUGUAUUCAAGUUUUAUUCAUUUUUACAUUCUAAUAAAUAAAUUUGGUAAAUAAGAG